UAGUCCACGCCGUAAACGAUGAGAACUAACUAUUGGAGUAUUGACUCCUUCAGUGGUAUAGCUAACGCGUUAAGUUCUCCGCCUGGGGAGUACGGUCGCAAGACUAAAACUCAAAGGAAUUGACGGGGGCCCGCACAAGCGGUGGAUUAUGUGGUUUAAUUCGAAGCAACGCGCAAAACCUUACCUGGGCUUAAAAUCCCGAGAAGUUCCUAGAGAUAGGAAUGUGCCCUUCGGGGAAUUCGGUGAUAGGCGCUGCAUGGCUGUCGUCAGCUCGUGUUGUGAAAUGUUGGGUUAAGUCUCGCAACGAGCGCAACCCCUAUUUUUAGUUGCCAGCAUUAAGUUGGGCACUCUAGAGAGACUGCCUGGGUUAACCAGGAGGAAGGUGGGGAUGACGUCAAGUCCUCAUGGCCCUUAUGUCCAGGGCUACACACGUAAUACAAUGGUCAACACAAAGAGCAGCGAACUCGCGAGAGGAAGCGAAUCUCAAAAAAGUUGAUCUCAGUCCGGAUUGGAGUCUGCAACUCG
rnacentral:rRNA from 1 species